ensembl:snoRNA small nucleolar RNA SNORA68
AAUGCACAGAAAACCCAAAGAUCAGUACAUGUGUUGUGAUCUUGCUUACUGUGCAGACAUAAAAAGGUACCUUGUCGCCUUUCACAUGCUUAUGUGCAGCUGAAAGUGAAUUCAAGGUUUGACAUUU